GCGUAAUGAUUUGAGCACUGUCUCGGCAAUAAAUCCGGUGAAAUUGUAGUGCAAGUGAAGAUGCUUGCUACCCGCGGUUGGACGGAAAGACCCCGUAGAGCUUUACUGUAGCUUAGCAUUGAAUUUCGGUAUUGUCUGUACAGGAUAGGUGGGAGACUUAGAAGCGAGGGCGUCAGCUUUCGUGGAGUCGUCCUUGGGAUACCACCCUGACAGUACUGGAAUUCUAACUGGAGGCCAUGAAUCUGGUCACAGGACAUUGCUAGGUGGGCAGUUUGACUGGGGCGGUCGCCUCCUAAAAGGUAACGGAGGCGCCCAAAGGUUCCCUCAGCGCGGUCGGAAAUCGCGCGUAGAGUGCAAAGGCAGAAGGGAGCCUGACUGCGACACAUACAGGUGGAGCAGGGACGAAAGUCGGGCUUAGUGAUCCGGUGGUUCUGUAUGGAAGGGCCAUCGCUCAACGGAUAAAAGCUACCUCGGGGAUAACAGGCUGAUCUCCCCCAAGAGUCCACAUCGACGGGGAGGUUUGGCACCUCGAUGUCGGCUCGUCGCAUCCUGGGGCUGUAGUCGGUCCCAAGGGUUGGGCUGUUCGCCCAUUAAAGCGGCACGCGAGCUGGGUUCAGAACGUCGGGAGACAGUUCGGUCCCUAUCCGCCGUGGGCGUAGGAAAUUUGAGAGGAGCUGUCCUUAGUACGAGAGGACCGGGAUGGACCAACCUCUGGUGCACCAGUUGUU
rnacentral:rRNA from 1 species